rnacentral:pre_miRNA from 1 species
GUUACCUGGAGAUCUUAUUAAAAUGCAGAUUCCAAUUCAAUUCCUCUGAUGUAGGGCAUGGGAUUCUGUAUUUCUAACAAGUUCCCAAGUGAUAUUGA